rnacentral:rRNA from 1 species
UGUGGUGGGAGCAUUCAGUCGGGAUAGUGAGACGCCUCUUGCCGGAGUAUCACAAGAAGGUACCCGCGACGGGACCGCUCCGGUGUGGCGCUUUUUGCUAGUCCGACGCAUUUGUUUCCCAUCCUGAGGACGCCGCAACCGGUUGGCGAGAUGGCCUUAAGGACGCGAGCUGGCAGGUGGCCGGCGAGCGCGCCUCGUGUGCGUUUGCCGGUCUUUAGCCUUCGUCGUCGCACGGCACGUCCGCCGAACCGUGCAAUAAAGAUGCCCCGAUGGGCUUCGUCGUCUCCUCCCAACGGCUGCGGGUGAAGAAGCAUGUCAGGAGUCUGACCGCAAUGUGCUGGGCGCACGGACUGACUCCGUGGCCGCGGUGCUCGGUUGGCUUCGUUGGAUUGUGCAAGCCCCGCGGGAGUGAUUGACGGUUAGCGGCGAGUAGGUCGGUCACCCACCCGACCCGUCUUGAAACACGGACCAAGGAGUUU